GACGAACGCUGGCGGCGUGCUUAACACAUGCAAGUCGAACGAAGAGCGAUGGAAGCUUGCUUCUAUCAAUCUUAGUGGCGAACGGGUGAGUAACGCGUAAUCAACCUGCCCUUCAGAGGGGGACAACAGUUGGAAACGACUGCUAAUACCGCAUACGAUCUAAUCUCGGCAUCGAGGAUAGAUGAAAGGUGGCCUCUACAUGUAAGCUAUCACUGAAGGAGGGGAUUGCGUCUGAUUAGCUAGUUGGAGGGGUAACGGCCCACCAAGGCGAUGAUCAGUAGCCGGUCUGAGAGGAUGAACGGCCACAUUGGGACUGAGACACGGCCCAGACUCCUACAGGAGGCAGCAGUGGGGAAUCUUCCGCAAUGGACGAAAGUCUGACGGAGCAACGCCGCGUGAGUGAUGACGGCCUUCGGGUUGUAAAGCUCUGUUAAUCGGGACGAAAGGCCUUCUUGCGAAUAGUGAGAAGGA
rnacentral:rRNA from 1 species